CCUACGGGCGGCAGCAGUGGGGAAUAUUGCACAAUGGGGGAAACCCUGAUGCAGCGACGCCGCGUGAGUGAAGAAGUAUUUCGGUACGUAAAGCUCUAUCAGCAGGGAAGAAAAAGACGGUACCUGACUAAGAAGCCUCGGCUAACUACGGGCAAGCAGCCGCGGUAAUACGUCGGGGGCAAACGUUAUCCGGAUUUACUGGGUGUAAAGGGGGCGGAGACGGCAGAACAAGUCUGGAGUGAAAUCCCGGGGCUUAACCCCGGAAGUGCAUUGGAAACUGUGCGGCUUGAGUGCAGGAGGGGUAAGCGGAAUUCCUAGUGUAGCGGUGAAAUGCGUAGAUAUUAGGAGGAACACCGGUGGCGAAGGCGGCUUACUGGACUGUAACUGACGUUGAGGCUCGAAAGCGUGGGGAGCAAACAGGAUUAGAUACCCCAGUAGUC
rnacentral:rRNA from 1 species